rnacentral:rRNA from 1 species
UUCUGAUGGGAUCGACCCGGUCGGCCCCGAAAGGGGUCGCACUGGUGGUCUGUCCGGUCAUCCUCGAGGGGAGGCUUUCUGGCAUUCAUUUGUUGGGGAGUCGACGCUCGUCGUUUACUGUGAACAAAUUAGAGUGUUCAAAGCAGGCUUAGGCCGUUGAAUACAUUAGCAUGGAAUAAUAAGAUAGGACUUUGGUGGUUUAUUUUGUUGGUUUGCACGCCGAAGUAAUGAUUAAUAGGAGCAGUUGGGGAUGUCCGUAUUCGAUUGUCAGAGGUGAAAUUCUUGGAUUUAUUGAAGACGAACUACUGCGAAAGCAUUCAUCAAGGAUGUUUUCAUUAAUCAAGAACGAAAGUUAG